ACUGGAAUCAAACCUGGGACCCUUCAGUUCGCAGCCAACACUCUAUCCACUGAGCCAAACCAGCCAGGACCACAGCAUAUUGUUAACAAAUGAAUUUGCUGGCUAUUAUGUAUAGGAGUACAAUCUUAUAUCUCACUGAGUGCUUACUUCACUGAAGGUAUUUAUUGAUCUGUUGCCUCAUUUGCCUCAGGAAAGAACCAGACAGAUAUACCAGACUGUUCUAUGCUUUGAGAAGAAAAUAAUAUUGGUUUCAGGAAUCAGCUUCACGCGAUUGUUAGGAGAGAAAAUUGACAUCUUUCUCU